GCAGCAACAAAGCAUAGGAGAAUUUCUCUUCAUCUGCUACACACUACACACAUUGUUGGUCUCCAUUUCCGUUUCUGGCAGACUUUUCACAAACCUAUAUAUAUAUAUACUACUAUGUAUGCGAAAAUUCAAACAUUCACCAUUGCUCGAAACCUAGUGUGCAGUAGCGGUAGAGCAAUCGCUAAAUCAUUUUCAUCAAGGAACAUGGCCACCACCGGCGCCGCGACGGCAGACCAUCGGAACCUUAUCAGCGUCGGAAGUAAGAUUAUCGCCGUCGGUCGUAACUACGCCGCUCACGCCAAA
rnacentral:misc_RNA from 1 species